rnacentral:rRNA from 1 species
CACGUAGGGGGCGAGCGUUGUCCGGAUUUAUUGGGCGUAAAGAGCCUCGUAGGCGGUUCCGUCAGUCGGGUGUGAAAACUCUGGGCUCAACCCAGAGACGCCACCCGAUACUGCGGUGACUAGAGUCCGGUAGGGGAGUGCGGAAUUCCUGGUGUAGCGGUGAAAUGCGCAGAUAUCAGGAGGAACACCAACGGCGAAGGCAGCACUCUGGGCCGGUACUGACGCUGAGGAGCGAAAGCGUGGGGAGCGAACAGG